AACGAACGCUGGCGGCAUGCCUAACACAUGCAAGUCGAACGAACCCUUCGGGGUUAGUGGCGCACGGGUGCGUAACGCGUGGGGAUCUGCCCUUUGCUUCGGAAUAACAGUUAGAAAUGACUGCUAAUACCGGAUGAUGUCGAAAGACCGAAGAUUUAUCGGCAAAGGAUGAACCCGCGUAGGAUUAGCUAGUUGGUAGGGUAAAGGCCUACCAAGGCGACGAUCCUUAGCUGGUCUGAGAGGAUGAUCAGCCACACUGGGACUGAGACACGGCCCAGACUCCUACGGGAGGCAGCAGUGGGGAAUAUUGGACAAUGGGCGAAAGCCUGAUCCAGCAAUGCCGCGUGAGUGAUGAAGGCCUUCGGGUUGUAAAGCUCUUUUACCAGGGAUGAUAAUGACAGUACCUGGAGAAUAAGCUCCGGCUAACUCCGUGCCAGCCGCCGCCGUAAGAC
rnacentral:rRNA from 1 species